UAAUACCCGCAGUAUUUAUGAUAUCAGUAGCUUACAGUGGAUGUAAUCAUACCCUUGCUGUUAUAUUACUAACAUUUGCUGUAGGGACUGGUGGCUUGUCCAUGGGUGGCUACCAAGUUAACCAUCUAGAUAUAGCACCCAGAUUUGCAGGAACAUUGUUUGGUAUAACCAACGCCAUUGCUACGAUUCCUGGUUUUCUAGCACCGUUAAUUGUUGGUAUUUUAACAAACCACCAGGAAACCAGUGAACAAUGGAGGAAGUUUUUCUUCAUAACAUCAGCUAUAUAUGUAGUAGGUGCUGUCAUAUAUCUGGUAUUAGCUAAAGGAGAGGAGUUGGAUUGGGCUAAGUCACCAGAUAAGACAAUAAUCGUUGAACCAGCUACAGAUGCAAAGAAUAUACAAUUUCCAACAAUUGGUUCAGAUAAAAUUCUAAGUGAAACGUAACAUGUAGAGGGAUGUAUGGCUGGUGUGUAGGUGUGCGUGUGUUUGGGGGUGGGGUGCUACUAGGUGGCUGGUGUUUGCGUGUCCUUGGGGGCUCCUGUCCAACCAGUAACGAUUAUUUAUACCAUUUACUGAAUCUAUUCCUAGACGUAUACUGCUCGAUAAUGUCUAGAUUAAUAUCGCUUCGUUUCGGGCUCAUUUUCUGUUCCGAACAUUCACUCAACCCAUCUUUUCAAAACGAUAGUAUUCUCAAUACAAUUUUUUGAUGAUUUUUUUUUAUCAAUAUGCAGAAGACUGAAAAACAAUAUAUGCAGUCUUAUGUUGUACCUUCAACAUCACUGCAGGGUACAGGUUGCAUUUGAUUUGUCUUUUUCUAAUA